rnacentral:piRNA from 1 species
CUUAAUGGUAUCCACAGCUUUCC